rnacentral:rRNA from 1 species
UACGGGGGGGGCAAGCGUUGUUCGGAAUUACUGGGCGUAAAGGGCUCGUAGGCGGUUUGUCGCGUCUGCUGUGAAAACCCGAGGCUCAACCUCGGGCCUGCAGUGGGUACGGGCAGACUAGAGUGCGGUAGGGGAGAUUGGAAUUCCUGGUGUAGCGGUGGAAUGCGCAGAUAUCAGGAGGAACACCGAUGGCGAAGGCAGAUCUCUGGGCCGUAACUGACGCUGAGGAGCGAAAGCGUGGGGAGCGAACAGG